AUGGUCCACAGCUCAGCUGGCUGUUGUUUCUGUAAGAAAUUACUUUCUUCAUUAUGCAUUGCUCAUGAUUAUUCUGCCUUGAAUAAACAUAUGGUGUGGCACUUUUCGUAUAAUGAUUUUAUGUCUUUCUGGUCCCAAAUCAUGCCGUUGAUUUACUUUGGUGUUAUUUCAUUACUUCCGAUCAUUUUGGCUCUGAAAAGCAAUAGUAUAGUAUAUCCAUGGAGUAUAAUAGGUUUGUUGUUUGUUCUAUCAAGUAAGUUUUAUUCCAUUUGCAUGAGCAUAUACCAAACUUUUUUCAUGCUCGCUCGUGAACAAGAUGAGAGCACUGGUUAUUUAUUUCCAAACAAGGCUUUGAUUGAGAUAGGUAUUACCGAUUUCUUUGGAUUUCUAUGCUGCAAAACUUGA
rnacentral:rRNA from 1 species